UUGAAAAUAAUUUCUUAUCCCAAAUUUCAAUCCACUAAACCCUAACUCCCAAAGUUCAAUGGAUUACGAACCCUAAACUCGUCCCUCUACUUUAUUCAAGCCACAACACGAAUUCAUAGACAAAUUUGUUUCUCCUUCCUAGUGUUCCUUCUUGUUUCUCCUUCCUGAAAAUGCAAGUGAUACCACGAUAGUGAAUGUGGUGGUGGGGUUUGCUCUAGAUUGAGAUCGAGGUCAAGAUUUCAAGGGUAUAUGCUUAUGAUUAGAUUUCACCGUGACUGUAAAAAGAUUGAAGCAAUUGUUGGAUCAAAAAUAGUUAUCCAGGUUGUGUUCUUUCUUGGUUAGUCAUUGUUGCACUAUUUUUCUACAAAUGUCAUUGGUGCAUGAAGAAGAUAAUUUUUCCAUCUCAAAACCAAUUAAGAAUGCACUUUCUAUCCCACCAGUUGUUAGUGACUCUACAAAUGCGAGCCCCUUUUCAUGAGGGAUGGAAAAAUCGAUAUGAAGCUUGGAAUCAUUUCAUUCAACUAGAACCUAAAUCGGAUAAGAGGGCUCAAUGCAAGUAUUGUGAUGCCCUUAUUCGAUAUGAGAAAGGAAUAACUUCAAUGCGUAAUCAUGUAUUGAGAUGUUCGAAUAACCCCAAUAACGAAGUAAACAAGAGGCGAAAAGCUAGUGCAUCUUCAACAAUUGAUGGAAACAUUAACUCUCCUUCUUAUGGUAGAUUUGACUAAGAACUUUCUCAAGAAAAACUAGUAAAAAUGUUUGUGGAAGUUGAACUCCCCUUUCGGUUUGUAGAGCAUGCUGCUUUUAGGAGGUAUACAAAUGCUUUGCAACUAAGAUUUAAGAUCCCAUCACGCCAUACCUUAUCCCGUAAUAUUGUGACAUUAUGGAAUGCAAAGAAGGAGCAAGAGUGCUUGAUCCAUAUCACAGUUCUUUGUCAUAUCAAAAGGUGGAGGUACUUAUAUGUACACAGGAUUGGUUAAAAGACACACAUUUACCAUCAUUGUUGGACUAUGAUCUUGAAGAGCUUCAAUGUGUUGACCAAGGUAUGUUGAUGUUUCAAUUAUGUAAUAACAUGAUUUCUUUAAAUUAAGUAAUGAUAAUCUUUUCAUUUCUUAUAGAGUUGGUUACUCAAGAUGUUGACCACAACAUGAUUUCUUUGAAUUAAAGCUCAAUCAUUAUGCAUUUUGCAAACAUUAAGUACAUGAAUGAAUUUUCAUUGUUGUUUUCAUAUAUAACUGAUUUUAGUGACUCUAAUGUUUCAAUGAUCAAAUUCUUACUUGCAUGUACAUUAGUCGUGAAUGGACUUUUGUUAUGGAGAUGGAUGAUACUAUGACCAAUAACUCUUCAUGUUUCCUUGCAAUGACUUUUUAUUUUAAGUUUUUAUGUUUAUUGGAAAUUAUAGUUACUAUAUUUUUCAUGAAUGGACUUUUGGUAUGGAGAUGGAUAUUGAUACUAUGACCAAUAACUCUCCAAGUUUCCUUGCAAUGACUUUUUAUUUUAAGUUUUGAUGUUUAUUGGAAAUUGUAGUUACUAUAUUUGUCAUGAAUAGACUUUUGGUAUAGAGAUGGAUAGCGAUACCUAUACCAAUAACUAUUUAUGUUUCCUUGUAAUGACUUUUUAUUUUAAGUUUUGAUGUUUAUUGGAAGUUAUAGUUACUAUAUUUGUUAUGAAUGAACUUUUGGUAUCGAGAUGGAUAUUGAUACUAUGACCAAUAACUCUCCAUGUUUCCUUGCAAUGACUUUUUAUUUUAAGUUUUUAUAUUUAUUGGAAAUUGUACUUACUAUAUUUGUCAUGAAUGGACUUUUGGUAUGGAGAUGGAUAGUGAUACAUAUACCAAUAACUCUCCAUGUUUCCUUACAAUGACCUUUUAUUUUAAGUUUUGAUGUUUAUUGGAAAUGUAGUUGUUGAUCUUGGAUGUGGACAAUUUUAAGUUGUCAUAUUAAGUAGAAUAGUUUUUCUAUGUAUAUGAGCUUGCAAAUAUUUGACUAAACACAACUGCAAGUUUUGCAUCAAAAAAUUUGUAAUCAAUGAGUUUAAGCAAUG